AUUCAUUACAAGUCUUCGAUGACGUCCAGAGACGUGUUAACCGAUAUUGUUAUGAUGAUCACGAUUGUGCAUCAUCUGUUUCUUGUUCGAAUUUAGGCAUGGAACAGAGGAUUGCCUUGUAUGUCUUCCUAGCAUAACAUUAAAAUUGGAUUGUCAAACCUUCCAGGCUAAGUUAGGAUUAGUAACAGUUUUUAUUAUUUGUCAUGCAAGCAGAUUGCGUAAAUUAUUUUGCAGAAGUUUUAAUGCAAUAUCGUCAAUUUUGCGUUCUUUUAGUUUCUCUAUUAAUUAAUUGCC